GUGUGUAAAUGUGGAAUUAUAAUGUGCCGCGAUUAUUCCUUAUGAACUAUACGAGCGUAUAUGUUCUGACAUAGCUAGAUGAACUAUUGGCAACGACUAUCAGUAAGCUAUUCUUUUGAUACGAACUAAUCUCGGAUCCCGUUUCGCAGUCGAAUUCAUUAUUCGCGAUCACAAGAUAUGACUCUUUCCACGAAAUAGGUGUUUGUCACUCAGUGCAAAGUGUGUGAAUUUGCGCGUGCGUACGUGCACAUAUGCAUGUAUUUAAUGCAUGCAUAUAUAAAUUAGAGUCCGUAGUCCGUCCGAAGGUGAGCACUUCUUGUGCACCCACAGCUCACCAGAUCACAGAAUAGCCCGGGAAGACGAUCGAGGAGGUAUUACAAAGGCGAGAAACAGAAAGAGAGAGACAUAUCUGGCUGAGAGACUGCUAGCUGCAUACGUUCCGCUGACUACUACAGCUUCGUUAAGAGAACAUGGCGGACGGA